AAAACAUUAUGUUUUUAAGUUUGAAGCUUUGUCUUUUUUCAGAGGCCAAAUAGGUAGUUUUAGCGUUUUGUUGAAAGUAUCUUCCAAAAUUGUAAAUGUAGAAUCUCAAGAAUGAGCAUUUGGCAAAAGUAGCAUCAAAAGGCGUGUCCCAGAGAGAAAGCCAAGGAGCCUGGCAGACCUAAAGAAGAUUUGGGGAAGAAAAUAAACACUAGCAAUCAGUCCAAUUAGAUGUAGCUGUAAUGUAAGUGUUUUUGUUGAAGGGGCUAUUCGUCUGCGCUUGAACAUUUUUUAUUUUAUUCACAUCAUAUAUGUUGUGCAGAAAACCUUAUUAGUUGUUUCCAUAACAAAUAAAUGUAAUGCCACAUUUUAUGAAUGAUCCAUAAGUCCUAGUAAUAUUAUGAAGUAAUUUUUAAAAUUAACCUUGUGUAUUCAUUGUCAUUUUGAAAAGAGCAUGUUAAAAAUUUGAUUUAUAAUGUUGUGUGAAAUUAUAGAAACCACAUAAAGUCUAAACAUAAAUAGAUUUUCAAUGUUACUCUUCCCAAGUAACCUUCAUGUAAGGCUAUCCAUCUUUAUAGUCUACUGAAAAUUCUUUUAAAAAUUGUUUGUGUAUGCUACAUAACAUGCAUGUGUACAUAUGUCCUUGUCAUUUGCAUUAAAAAUUGUUAAUAUUGUUUAUCAAUGUGUAACUAUUUUACAGGAAGAAGGUUUAAAUUGUAUGGCACUUUGUCUUCUUUAUGUUAUAUAAAAAACAUACUACCUGAGAUGGCUCAUACCGGUGUGAUUUUCCAGGUAAAUUUAUAGUCUAGUAAUUGGAUAUUAUGAACUGAUAAAAAUAAUGCCAAGAUAACUGAAAAUAUUAGUAGAUUCUGAUCUUUUAUUGCCUGUGAAAGUUUGUUAACUUAUCAAUUAGAUCUGAGAAAAUGAGUUUUACAAGCUAUAUCAACUGAUAGUAUAAAAAUUAUUUAAUAGAUCAUCUUUCCCUUAUAUGUAAUAUGACUGUAUACU
rnacentral:lncRNA from 1 species